rnacentral:rRNA from 1 species
UACGUAGGGGCCUAGCGUUGUCCGGAAUUAUUGGGCGUAAAGGGCGCGUAGGCGGUAGCACAAGUCAGUUGUGAAAUCUCCGGGCUUAACUCGGAAAGGUCAACUGAUACUGUGCGACUAGAGUGCAGAAGGGGCAACUGGAAUUCUCGGUGUAGCGGUGAAAUGCGUAGAUAUCGAGAGGAACACCUGCGGCGAAGGCGGGUUGCUGGGCUGACACUGACGCUGAGGCGCGAAAGCCAGGGGAGCGAACGGG